UACCUUCUAUGGGAUCUUUUACAUUUUCUAUAGUGUGUUAGUAAUAGCCAACACUCAUGAACUACAGCUGUGUUCAAGUCCCUGUAUAGCUGUAUGGCCUUGGCUCAUACUAAAUAUGCAUGAAAUUGCAGCAUGAAAUUUGGUAUCAAUUGAGAACAGCUAGUGAAAGUAUUGGGUAAAAACUGUGUAAGAUGUCAUUUUUACCUUCAAAUUAUUUUCUGUCUAAUAUGAAUAAAAGCAUAGCACAUAAAUAACUAAAAUUCAAGAUAGAAUACAGUAGAUUGCAUAACAAUUAUAUGGAAGUAAGAGAGUAUCUUUGUUCAGUGUAUUUUAUAUUCUUAUUAAAACAAUAAUGUUUUAACUGGUUAAUAGGUAGCUUUCCCAAAGAGUUUUAAAGGGCAGAGGUUGUUUGAUGAGAAAGGAAAAAUUUAAAAGUGGGGUAAAGGAAAAGCAAUGUAUGUGUUCAGGGAAUAGAAAGAUAGCAAGGCAUGGGUUGAGAAAAUUGAGUGUCUUCAUUUUCCCUGGAGCAUAGGAAAGUAAUGAGAUAGCCAGAAAGGUUGUUUGGGGAUAGCUACCCUUCAUCUGAAAUUUUAGAUUAAGAAAUCUAUGCAUAAUUUGGUAGGCAUGUGGAAACCAUUAAAAGUUUAUAUACAGCGAAGUGAUGUAAUCAAAGUUGUCCUUUAAGAAGAUUGAAAAGGCAAUGAUGUAAUAGGAAUUAUUGAAGAAUAAAUUUGGAAAUAUCAAGGAAGCUUUUAUAAUAGUAGAAACAGGAGGUAAAGAGGAUCUGAUCUAGGGAGGUGGCGGUGGGAUUCAGAAAAUGAGAUAAAAAACAUUCUCAGGGUGGAAUCUAACAAACUGGGGUAGAGGAAAAGAACAAGGGCAUCAGAGGUGAAAACAAGACCUCAAGCCUAAAUGAGAGUAAGAGUGCGAGUGCCAUUAGUAGGGUACACUGAUAGCUGGCUUUGCCUACAGAGUAUCUGAAAGUAGAGAGUCCAAGAAGUUGGAAAUACAGAUCUGGUCCUUUGAAGGAAGGCUGGAGUUACAGAUUUGGGAUCCAUCUACAAUUAAGUUGUAUAAAUAGUUGAUACGCCCAAAGGAAGAAGGUUUUGAAGAGAAAUACUGCUGAGAGCAGACUGGAAGGAAACAGAAGAGAUUUUUCUGAUUGGGAACAGCUGCAUGUAGAGAAGCAUUAGCACUCUUGAGGCUCCAUAAUUUCAGCUACAAGUCUAUGGGAGUGAUGAUUUUGCCCACUGGAGACCCUGACAAGGUAUCUCUGGUAGGGGCCAUCCUGAUGAGCCUGACGGGAGGCAAGUGCUGACAGAGCGUUGCACUGCCUUUACUGCCACUAUUGCUGCCUGUGUUCGUCAUGGUCUGGACAUGAUCCACACGCAUCAUCAUAAACUGGGCAAAGUAGAAGAGUCUAUGUUUCUGAUGCAAAGGCUACCACUGCAUGUCAGACUUGGACUGCUGACAAAAAGUGACACAUUCAUUUCACAGGGAGUAAGGAUACAUUGUGUGAGUGUGGUCCCCACCCACUCCUGGCAUUUUGAUUACAUUGGACUUCUGACCCCGUCUCAGGGCUAUUGGUAAUGGCUCGCUGCUCCUGACCCUUUUUCAGCUUUGGUGUUAUUGGUCUAGUCCAAUCAACUGACUCUAACCACACCACUGUGGCCCCUGAACACUAAUCUGUGUCAUGCUUUUGGCUUUCUGGUCCAUUUACAGUCUGACAAAGGUACACUUGUUAUUGCAAAGGUCACUCAAUAAUGGGCUACUGGCUAAGGUAUUUAGAGCACUUUCCAUGCUGCUAUCCUUAGACCUCUGGUGUUGUUGAGCGUGGGUAACGGUCACUUCAAAAAUCAACUCAAAAAGACCUCUUCUUCUAUAUCGCUCACCUCCUCCUAGUUCACAUGCUUUAAUACUAAGUAUUGUGGUCACUGAAUGGUCUCCAGAAAGGAAGCAUCUCCUUUUGCCCACUUCCUAGGUAAUGAUAAGGACAAAGGGGAUAGGAGUUUAUAAACCUACUAUGAAAAUUCAGAAGCCUACUGUGGGCAUGACAUGUCUUUCUUUCCCCUACUGAAAACUACUGGCUGGCUGGGUUGGUUCCGGGUUGGUACACUCUCUUGGUGGCAACCCAGCCAAACGGAGCCUAUGGGAUUUGAAUUCAAAUCUGGUUCAGCUCCUUGAAUUCCCUUAUUGGAUGGAUAUAGUCCUAGAUUAUAAGGAUGAUGAUUACAUAGUGGAAUAUUUGCUCCCUGAGUCCCCUAACAGUUCCAUAAGGGCCAAAAUGGGAGACAUAAGGAGUGCCUGUGUGUUUUAGAAAAAUGUUCCUGUGUCUUUUGCACCUAUCCUUCUGAAACAGGAGGGAAGGGGGCAGGGCACAACCUUUGAAAGAAUGACAUAGCCCAAGGACACAACAUAAAUCAAUUGGAAUCCAAUGGCUCCAAGAUGGCAGACAGGUCAACUUUGACUAGACCUUGAUCUUCAAUCAGCAAGCUAAAUGACACACCCAGAGGCCCUAUGACAGUUCCAAGGCACCAUCAAAAGACCAAAAAGUGAGUGGUGGGUCAAUUUUUGUAAAUCUCCACCUCUUCUCCAAAACAAUUGGAAUAAUCCUCCCACUCAUUAGCCUAUGAGAUUACCCAGCCCAUAAAAACUAACCAUGCCACAUUUUGAAGCUGCACUUGCCCUCUGCAAUGGCUCACACUGUCUGUGGAGUAUGUUUCUCUCUGAAUAAAACCACUUCUUACCUGUUAUUUUGUCUCUCACUGAAUUCUUCCUGCAAUAUCAUCAAGAACCUUCAUUAGGUCCUG
ensembl:lncRNA